UGCCAGAUGGUGAAAUGGUAUCACAAAGGACUCUGAAUCCUUUUUUCUAGGUCCGAAUCCUAGUCUGGCAA
rnacentral:tRNA from 1 species